CAACCAUUUGAUUCAUUUUAUAACCCGAUGAAAAAAUCGAAGAAAAGGAGUAACGCAAUAGCUGUGAGCAUGCAGAAGAAAAAGUACCUAAAAUCAACGAGAGAAAACGGAAAAAAAAUUCACCAAAAUCCUUGUUUUAAGUACUCGAACAACAGUCAAAACAUAUAAUAAGAAUUAGAAUCCUGAAACAUCAGAUUAACAACAUGACGAGUUUCGCAGUAUUAACAACAGCAGUUAACUAAUCCAGAAAAUGAUUCAACAGAGAAAGCUACUAAUCUCGAAUCAAACGCUAAUCACAGUACUCAACAGUAACGUCGAUCAUAAACUGGAUCACGAUAGUCGGAAAAAGAUCCGGGAUACCAUUUUCCGGAACACUUAACAAACAGAUCGAUAACAUAGAAAAUAUCGAAAACGAUAGAUAAGAAUAAAAACAAACCUCGACGGUGGGAUUGCCACGGCUGUCGAAGAUUUGCCUUGCCUUGACGGAGACGAUGGUAUCCAUGGCCAGAAGCUCGUAGAUCUAAGAGAGGAAUCAAGCUAGAGACGACAAGAUAGAACAGGAGAAGGUUUUGAUAGAAAGAAGAGAGUGAAUGUGGUAUAUAAAGAGAAGACGGUUGAGAUGAAAUUAAUAAGAACCGUCGGAUCAGAUAUUAGGUUUUGUUGGUAUUAGAAUAAACUGUGGUCGUUACCGUGGUGUGUGUUUUUACUGAAGCCCUGGUUUUGAAACUCACUUUACAUACAUGUCCACGGUUUUGUUUAACUUCACUUUCCG
rnacentral:lncRNA from 1 species